UACGGGGGGAGCAAGCGUUGUUCGGAUUUACUGGGCGUAAAGGGCGCGUAGGCGGCCACCGCAAGUCGACUGUGAAAUCUCCGGGCUUAACCCGGAAAGGUCAGCCGAUACUGCGGGGCUAGAGUGCAGAAGGGGCAACUGGAAUUCUCGGUGUAGCGGUGAAAUGCGUAGAUAUCGAGAGGAACACCUGCGGCGAAGGCGGGUAGCUGGGCCGACACGUGACGCUGAGGCGCGAAAGCCAGGGAGCGAACGGG
rnacentral:rRNA from 1 species